ACACGUGUUAUCCUGUCUGAAUAUGGGGGGACCAUCCUCCAAGGCUAAAUACUCCUGACUGACCGAUAGUGAACCAGUACCGUGAGGGAAAGGCGAAAAGAACCCCUGUGAGGGGAGUGAAAUAGAACCUGAAACCGUGUACGUACAAGCAGUAGGAGCACCUUCGUGGUGUGACUGCGUACCUUUUGUAUAAUGGGUCAGCGACUUAUAUUCAGUGGCAAGGUUAACCAUCUAGGGGAGCCGUAGGGAAACCGAGUCUUAACUGGGCGCCAUAGUCUCUGGAUAUAGACCCGAAACCGAGUGAUCUAGCCAUGGGCAGGUUGAAGGUUGAGUAACAUCAACUGGAGGACCGAACCGACUAAUGUUGAAAAAUUAGCGGAUGACUUGUGGCUAGGGGUGAAAGGCCAAUCAAACUCGGAGAUAGCUGGUUCUCCCCGAAAGCUAUUUAGGUAGCGCCUCGGACGAAUACUACUGGGGGUAGAGCACUGUUAAGGCUAGGGGGUCAUCCCGACUUACCAACCCUUUGCAAACUCCGAAUACCAGUAAGUACUAUCCGGGAGACACACGGCGGGUGCUAACGUCCGUCGUGGAGAGGGAAACAACCCAGACCGCCAGCUAAGGUCCCAAAUUACAGCUAAGUGGGAAACGAUGUGGGAAGGCUUAGACAGCUAGGAUGUUGGCUUAGAAGCAGCCAUCAUUUAAAGAAAGCGUAAUAGCUCACUAGUCGAGUCGGCCUGCGCGGAAGAUGUAACGGGGCUAAGUU
rnacentral:rRNA from 1 species